UUUUUUCUGCAGAUGAUCGCUUGAGCCUAUAUGGCUUGAGAGGAAAGUCCGAACUUCCUCUGACUUGUCAGAGUCAUGGUAGUGGCUAACGACCACCUCUCUAUUUGUGAAAAUAUGAGACGGGAAAGUGCCGCAGAGACUAUACUCGUUUUGCAUAACAAAACGACCCUGAGUCUGCCGAAGGGUUUCAACCAAUCGAGCAGAAGCAUUAUAUCAGAGUUAUUUUGUUAUGCAAGACAAAAGGUGAAAAGUGUAGAGAUAUUUUUAUUCUAUAGAUAAAAGUUACUCUACUCGAUUAUAUGGCAACAUAUAAUUGUGGUAAACCCUACCUGGAGAAAGAGCAGCCUUGGCUUCACUUCAUUACGCCUCGUUUACAAAACGUAGCAUAGAUGCACUGUUUACAGGGCGCAAUGAAGUGAAGCCCUGGAAAAGUUCGCUCGUUAGAGCAAAAUAGCAAUGUUUUGCCUAGAGAAAUGAUCAUCACCUGCAUAGCAGGAACAAAAUUCGGCUUAUAGCAGAAAAAAAGAC
rnacentral:RNase_P_RNA from 1 species